rnacentral:rRNA from 1 species
UACGAAGGGGGCUAGCGUUGCUCGGAAUUACUGGGCGUAAAGGGCGCGUAGGCGGAUAUCUAAGUUGGGGGUGAAAUCCCGGGGCUCAACCUCGGAAUUGCCUUCAAAACUGGGUAUCUUGAGUUCGGGAGAGGUGAGUGGAACUCCGAGUGUAGCGGUGAAAUGCGUAGAUAUCGUAAGGAAGACCAGUGGCGAAGGCGGGUCUCUGGACAGUUCCUGACGCUGAGGCACGAAGGUCAGGGGAGCAAACGGG